GACGAACGCUGGCGGCGUGCUUAACACAUGCAAGUCGAGCGGUAAGGCCCUUUCGGGGGUACACGAGCGGCGAACGGGUGAGUAACACGUGGGUGACCUGCCCUCAGCUCUGGGAUAAGCCUGGGGAAAACCGGGUCUAAUACCGGAUAUGACUCCAUGACGCAUGUUGUGGGGUGGAAAGCCUUGUGCGGCUGAGGAUGGGCCCGCGGCCUAUCAGCUUGUUGGUGGGGUGAUGGCCCUAACCGAAGGCGAACGACGGGUAGCCGGCCUGAGAGGGCGACCGGCCACACUGGGACUGAGACAC
rnacentral:rRNA from 1 species